UGCAAGUCGACGGAAGGCCCUGCUUUUGUGGGGUGCUCGAGUGGCGCCCCAACUGGAACACGUGAGUAACCUGCCCUUGACUUUGGGCCUCUUACAGGAAACUGGGGCUAAUACCGGAUAGGAGCUCCUGCUGCAUGGUGGGGGUUGGAAAGUUUCGGCGGUUGGGGAUGGACUCGCGGCUUAUCAGCUUGUUGGUGGGGUAGUGGCUUACCAAGGCUUUGACGGGUAGCCGGCCUGAGAGGGUGACCGGCCACAUUGGGACUGAGAUACGGCCCAGACUCCUACGGGAGGCAGCAGUGGGGAAUAUUGCACAAUGGGCGGAAGCCUGAUGCAGCAACGCCGCGUGCGGGAUGACGGCCUUCGGGUUGUAAACCGCUUUCGCCUGUGACGAAGCGUGAGUGACGGUAAUGGGUAAAGAAGCACCGGCUAACUACGUGCCAGCAGCCGCGGUGAUACGUAGGGUGCGAGCGUUGUCCGGAUUUAUUGGGCGUAAAGGGCUCGUAGGUGGUUGAUCGCGUCGGAAGUGUAAUCUUGGGGCUUAACCCUGAGCGUGCUUUCGAUACGGGUUGACUUGAGGAAGGUAGGGGAGAAUGGAAUUCCUGGUGGAGCGGUGGAAUGCGCAGAUAUCAGGAGGAACACCAGUGGCGAAGGCGGUUCUCUGGGCCUUUCCUGACGCUGAGGAGCGAAAGCGUGGGGAGCGAACAGGCUUAGAUACCCUGGUAGUCCACGCUGUAAACGGUGGGUACUAGGUGUGGGGUCCAUUCACGGGUUCCGUGCCGUAGCUAACGCUUUAAG
rnacentral:rRNA from 1 species